AGAGUUUGAUCAUGGCUCAGAUUGAACGCUGGCGGAAUGCUUUACACAUGCAAGUCGAACGGCAGCACGGGGCAACCUGGUGGCGAGUGGCGAACGGGUGAGUAAUACAUCGGAACGUGCCCAAUCGUGGGGAUAACGUAGCGAAAGUUACGCUAAUACCGCAUACGAUCUACGGAUGAAAGCGGGGGAUCGCAAGACCUCGCGCGAAUGGAGCGGCCGAUGUCAGAUUAGGUAGUUGGUGGGGUAAAGGCUCACCAAGCCGACGAUCUGUAGCUGGUCUGAGAGGACGACCAGCCACACUGGGACUGAGACACGGCCCAGACUCCUACGGGAGGCAGCAGUGGGGAAUUUUGGACAAUGGGCGCAAGCCUGAUCCAGCCAUUCCGCGUGCAGGAUGAAGGCCUUCGGUUGUAAACUGCUUUUGUACGGAACGAAACGGUUCUCUCUAAUACAGGGGGCUAAUGACGGUACCGUAAGAAUAAGCACCGGCUAACUACGUG
rnacentral:rRNA from 1 species